rnacentral:rRNA from 1 species
CCUACGGGAGGCUGCAGUGAGGAAUAUUGGUCAAUGGGCGUAAGCCUGAACCAGCCAUCCCGCGUGAAGGAAGAAGGCGCUAUGCGUCGUAAACUUCUUUUCCAGAGGAAUAAAAUUUCGUACGUGUACGGAACUGAAGGUACUUUUGGAAUAAGCAUCGGCUAACUCCGUGCCAGCAGCCGCGGUAAUACGGAGGAUGCGAGCGUUAUCCGGUUUAAUUGGGGUUUAGGGGGGCGAAUACGGAUGAGUUGAAAACCUUCAGCUUAACUGGAGAACUGCCAUUGAUACUGUUAGUCUUGAGUACGGUCAAGGUAGGCGGAAUGUGUAAUGUAGCGGUGAAAUGCUUAGAUAUUACACAGAACACCGAUUGCGAAGGCAGCUUACUGGGCCAUUACUGACGCUGAUGCACGAAAGCGUGGGGAGCGAACAGGAUUAGAUACCCGAGUAGUC